GCCUGAUUCCACCUUGGGCUUCCUGGGACUGGCGGGAAACUUCCUACAGGUGGGGAGGCCCAAGAUCCGAGUCCAGCAGCUACAGGACGCAACAAAAAAUACAGAAAAACAGAGAAACCCGGGAAACUCUCUAAACAUGGGCCCCGCCGUUCCUUGCAGCGGGGCAUCUCUGCGCCGUCUCCACGGGCCUCUCCUCACCCUGGCUGAAGACAGGAACCAGGAGCGCCCGUCAGCAAACGAGGUAUGACAAUGGACCCACGAUCAUGGAAUUCACUGUUCAAACCACGUCACCAUUUCCUGAAGCAGCUGGUUUGACAGAAAAGAAUGGUAUUUGAAGUCUCAGUAGCAGGCUCUGCUGGUCCUUAGCUUCAAAGGGAGGAAUGUUUCUACCAGAAGACACAAUGGCUCUACUGAACUGGAAGGAAAGAACAACCAUUAUUUGUGGCCUUUUAAAAUUCAAGCUGUAAACCAUGAGGUUAAAUGAGGUUAAACACCUCAUAAAGAUCCCUGCACACAGAAACAUUCAGAAAACAUUGCUGACAGAUGACUGUCAUUGGUACGGAGGGCUCGGAGAUCCAGCAACCGAAACCCAGAUUCACUACAAUGCUUGCUUUACAUUUUGCUUUUGUUACCACGCCUAUAA